rnacentral:rRNA from 1 species
GAUGAACGCUGGCGGCGUGCCUAAUACAUGCAAGUCGAGCGAACGGACGAGAAGCUUGCUUCUCUGAUGUUAGCGGCGGACGGGUGAGUAACACGUGGAUAACCUACCUAUAAGACUGGGAUAACUUCGGGAAACCGGGGCUAAUACCGGAUAAUAUUUUGAACCGCAUGGUUCAAAAGUGAAAGACGGUCUUGCUGUCACUUAUAGAUGGAUCCGCGCUGCAUUAGCUAGUUGGUAAGGUAACGGCUUACCAAGGCAACGAUGCAUAGCCGACCUGAGAGGGUGAUCGGCCACACUGGAACUGAGACACGGUCCAGACUCCUACGGGAGGCAGCAGUAGGGAAUCUUCCGCAAUGGGCGAAAGCCUGACGGAGCAACGCCGCGUGAGUGAUGAAGGUCUUCGGAUCGUAAAACUCUGUUAUUAGGGAAGAACAUAUGUGUAAGUAACUGUGCACAUCUUGACGGUACCUAAUCAGAAAGCCACGGCUAACUACGUG